UACGUAGGUGGCGAGCGUUAUCCGGAUUUAUUGGGUUUAAAGGGUCCGUAGGCGGUUUAGUAAGUCAGUGGUGAAAUCCCAUCGCUCAACGGUGGAACGGCCAUUGAUACUGCUAGACUUGAAUUAUUAGGAAGUAACUAGAAUAUGUAGUGUAGCGGUGAAAUGCUUAGAGAUUACAUGGAAUACCAAUUGCGAAGGCAGGUUACUAACAAUAUAUUGACGCUGAUGGACGAAAGCGUGGGGAGCGAACAGG
rnacentral:rRNA from 1 species